CUCCUGGCCUCAGUGUCCUGAGUAAAUGGGAUACUACAGGUCAACACCGUCACCACUCAACUGAUAUCUUACUGCUUUUAUGAAGCCUUCCUUGAUUCCUCCGGCGGGGUGAUACCUCUCAGUAUCUUCCAUGAUGAAGAAAGACAUCUCAAUUUCCCUCUGAAUCUCCAGCUUCAGGGCAUGGUGGGCCAUUUGAAGACUUCUGGAGUCAAGAGAUAAAGGGAAGCAUUAGUUCCAUUGGGUCCUGUUUGAUCUUUAUACCAUCAACACGGAGCUCAGAGCUUCCCUGCUUCCCUUUCGCUCCUCAAGGUCACCAGAAGGACGUGGGCUUUUUGAUGUUCAAAGAAAGUCUGAAAGCCUCGCCUGGUCUUCUGAGCCUGAGCGUGCUGUUGGCAGGCUCUUCUGAAUCAAGUUGGGGCAGAGGAGGAUUCCUCGUCUCUUUCUGAGGCAGAUCCCACAGUCGUUAGGAGCUGGAUGAGCACGUUCUUUAAUAGAUUUCCUUUUUAUUUUUCUGGGUCUCAUCUGAAAUUUUUGACCCUUGCACGUCUCCAUUCUCUCAACCUUCUUUCUGACCAGAAAAUUCCUUCUGUAAUUUUGGCUACACAAGAGUAUCAAGGAAUGCUUAGGGGGCAAACAGAGUACUUCGAGAACAGCAUGCAUUCGGGCCAAGCUCCCAAGGCCAUGCUGAGCAUACGUCUCCAGCUCACAGCUUCGGGAAGCUGAGAGGAACAGAGGUCCUCAAUCUCAGAAAGAAAUAAAAGCAGAUCAGGGAAUCACCUCUCCCUUUUCCCUUAGUGAAAUAUUUUAAUGAGUUUUGAGGCUGUCUCUGUGUGUAUGAAAUGCCAGGAGUCUGCAUCUCAGCUGUUAUGACCAGAGGUCUUCUCUUGGGUGCUGGUGAGGACUGAGGACUAGCUGGCUUCAGGAAAGCUGCUUCAGCUGCUUUUCCUGCCAGCCACACAGCAGGAACAAGAAACAACUUUGGCUGGGCAUGGUGGCUCACGCCUGUAAUCCCAGCACUUUGGGAAGCCGAGCCAGGAGGAUCAGGAGGUCAGGAGUUCAAGACCAGCCUGGCCAUCAUAGUGAAACCCCAUCUCUACUAAAAAUACAAAAAAUUACCUGGGCCUGGUGGCGGGCGCCUGUAAUCCCAGCUACUCGGGAGGCCGAGGCAGGAGAAUCACUUGAAGCCAGGAGGCGGAGGUUUCAGUAAGCAGAGAUCACACCACUGCACUCCAGCCUGGAUGACAGUGCGAGACUCCAUUUCAAAAGAGAAAAAAAAGAAAAAGAAAAAGAAAAAGAAACAACUUUGCAGUUGUUUUUUUGCAGUUGUUGCACUGAGAGGAGUAGGAGGUAAGAGAGAGAGGGGGCAUGUGUUAGUUUGCCUGCUGUCACUCAGUGACUUGGAGGAAUGGAGAUUUAGGUCAAGGAUACAUUUCCAAGAAGGGAGACAAUAUGUCACAGUAUCCCCAGAACGAGCCAUGGGGCUGGGCUCAGAGACAUGGGAGCAUAGCUUGGGAACUUAAAGACACAACUCAAGUCACUAGGUUCUCUGACUCCCUCCGUCCCAGCCUCUGCAUUUAUUGGUCCCUUACAAUUAUGGUGACUCAGAAUGUCUCAGUUUCUACUUCUAGCACUCAGGACACAGCUCACUGGUGAUCUGAUUCUCCACCCUUUGCAUAUGUUUGUUUCUGUUGCUCUGAUCUUUGGCUUACUCAUGGCGUCUACCUACUUUUGGGCCUUCAUGGCCUGUCUUCCUUCUGUGUGAUUUUCAGUACUCUUUGGCUCCCACUCCCACAAUUAGCUGUUGAUUCUUUUUUCCUGUACCUUCUGUUUAAGUUCAAUAGAAAGAUAAUUUGAUUGGUUGGAGUGAAUCAUCACUAGCCUUCCUGCUCUUUGGUUAUGAGGUACUUCAUAGGUCCAACCUAUAGAGUUGGUCAACCUUGGGGCAGGAGCUCGCCCUAACUCCAACCAGCUUGGCCAGAGGCACCAACACGCUGGUCAAAGCAGGACAGCACAUAGAAGAUUUGAGAAAUGAUCUGCUUAAUGCAAUGGGUUUUAGGGGAUGACAGUUCUUUCACUUUGUAGCUGUGUGGCCUUGGGUGACUUCUUUAAUUUUUCUGAGCUUAUUUCUUUGCCUGUAAAAAUGUGGAUGAAGGUACUAUCUUGCAGUGAUGUGUGGAUUAGAGGUAAAUUAUCUAAAGUAUCUAAUAAACAGUGUGUG
rnacentral:lncRNA from 1 species